AUUGAUGGAGCAAUGAUCCUUGGGCUCACUGGAGCAGCAGCCCCCCUGGGCAUGCCAGAACAGCUGGCUGGCAGCCAGUCCUGGGGUUGGCAGAGCAAUGUCCCUGGCUCCCUGAAGCAAUGGCUGGCAGCCCACUGGAGUAGCGGCCAGGGUUGGGUCAGCUCCCCUGGGAAUGGAGCAGCAGCCCCCUCUCAAAGAAUGAAAUCGCAAAGUGAAUGGACAGAAAUGACAGGCAUGGGAAUGAACGAGGAGCCGGCCUAUAGCGCGCACCUGUCACGCGGAAGGGCUGCAAAGCAGCAGACAAAUUCUGCAUACGCCAGAAUCUAUUGCGCUCAGCUUUGAAACGAGGCCACCACCGGCGAGGUGGGACACGGCAGCUGUGCGCAGCGCCGCCUAGGCAGCAAGGAAGAAUGUCUGCUCCAGUUAGAGUUACGGAGGGAAUGUGGACAGCCAGAUGAGAAGGAGCCCAAGACCUUUCAUCUCCUCUGUGGCCCACGCCAGAGUCACUAGGCCGAAAGCACCUCCAGGCGACACGAAGCAUUGCUUGGAGACCAUUUAUCAAGGCCUAAGUAGGUCACGCUAAUGUGAACACACACAACACUGCUAUCUCCUUU